rnacentral:rRNA from 1 species
AGAACGAACGCUGGCGGCGUGGAUAAGACAUGCAAGUCGAACGGGGUUACUUUUGGUAGCAAUACUAAGAGUGACUUAGUGGCGAACGGGUGCGUAACACGUGGGCAAUCUGCCGAGAAGUGGGGGAUAGCUCGCCGAAAGGCGAAUUAAUACCGCAUAUGAUCAGGGACGACAUCUUCCCAACAUCAAAGCCGGGGCAACCUGGCGCUUUUUGAGGAGCCCGCGGCCUAUCAGCUAGUUGGCGAGGUAACGGCUCACCAAGGCUAUGACGGGUAGCUGGUCUGAGAGGACGAUCAGCCACACUGGGAUUGAGAACGGCCCAGACUCCUACGGGGGGCAGCAGUGAGGAAUUUUCCGCAAUGGAGGCAACUCUGACGGAGCAACGCCGCGUGCAGGAUGAAGGUUUUCGGAUCGUAAACUGCUUUUCUCGGGGACGAGCAAGGACGGUACCCGAGGAAGAAGCCCCGGCUAACUACGCGCCAGCAGCCGCGGU